GACGUAGGGCGCGAGCGUUGUCCGGAUUUAUUGGGCGUAAAGAGCUCGUAGGCGGCUUGUCGCGUCGACUGUGAAAUCCCGCGGCUCAACCGCGGGUCUGCAGUCGAUACGGGCAGGCUAGAGUGCGGUAGGGGAGACUGGAAUUCCUGGUGUAGCGGUGAAAUGCGCAGAUAUCAGGAGGAACACCGGUGGCGAAGGCGGGUCUCUGGGCCGUAACUGACGCUGAGGAGCGAAAGCAUGGGGAGCGAACAGG
rnacentral:rRNA from 1 species